rnacentral:rRNA from 1 species
UACGGAGGGCGCAAGCGUUGUUCGGAAUCACUGGGCGUAAAGCGCGUGUAGGCGGCCGGGCAAGUCGGAUGUGAAAUCCCGAGGCUCAACCUCGGAACUGCAUUCGAAACUGCUCGGCUCGAGUCCCGGAGAGGAUGGCGGAAUUCCCGGUGUAGGGGUGAAAUCCGUAGAUAUCGGGAGGAACUCCAGUGGCGAAGGCGGCCAUCUGGCCGGUGACUGACGCUGAGACGCGAAAGCGUGGGGGGCAAACAGG